rnacentral:rRNA from 1 species
AGCUAAUACUUGCUUUAGCACUCUUGAUUAAGUUCUUGAGUGUGUACUUGUUAAGCCUUUUAAGAAAAAAGUUAUUAACUUAAGGAAUUAUAACAAAGAAGCAACACGUAAAUGGAUUUUCCAUUUUUUAGUGUGUAUCAAUCGAGUUUCUGACCUAUCAGCUUUUGAUGUUAGGGUAUUGGCCUAACAUGGCUAUGACGGGUAACGGGGAAUUAGAGUUCGAUUCCGGAGAGGGAGCCUGAGAAAUAGCUACCACAUCUAAGGAAGGCAGCAGGCGCGUAAAUUACCCAAUUCUAAAGAAGAGAGGUAGUGACAAGAAAUAACAAUACAAGGCCAAUCUGGCUUUGUAAUUGGAAUGAUGGGAAUUUAAAACCUUCCCAAAACUCAAUUGGAGGGCAAGUCUGGUGCCAGCAGCCGCGGUAAUUCCAGCUCCAAUAGCGUAUAUUAAAAUUGUUGCAGUUAAAACGCUCGUAGUUGAAUUUCAAAGAAUCGAUAUUUUAAGUAGCACUUUGUAGAUUAAUCCACAUAACUGAUACUACGUAUCGACUUUGUGCGCAUUUUUCUACUUAUGUGUUCUUUUAAUUAAAAUGAUUCUUUUUAAGAUCUUUCUUUUUUGCUUCGGCAUUUUAGGAGAUCUUGUUACUUUGAGUAAAUUAGAGUGUUCAAAGCAAACAGAUUAUAGCAUCUUUAUGCGUUUGAAUACUACAGCAUGGAAUAACAAAAUUGAACAAGUCAGAAUUUUGUUCUUUUUUCUUAUUUUGGCUUAGUUACGAUUAAUAGGAGUAGCUUGGGGGCAUUUGUAUUCAGAUGUCAGAGGUGAAAUUCUUAGAUUUUCUGGAGACAAACAACUGCGAAAGCAUUUGCCUAAAAUACUUCCAUUAAUCAAGAACGAAAGUUAAGGGAGUGAAGACGAUCAGAUACCGUCGUAAUCUUAACCAUAAACUAUGCCGACUAGGCUUUGGAUGAAAGAUUUUAAAAUAAGAGUUUUUUCUCUGAGGAGUUAAAACUCUUAGAUUGCUUCCUUCAGUGCCUUAUGAGAAAUCAAAGUCUUUGGGUUCUGGGGCGAGUAUUCGCGCAAGCGAGAAAGUUAAAAGAAUUGACGGAAGGGCACCACCAGGCGUGGAGCUUGCGGCUUAAUUUGACUCAACACGGGAAAACUCACUAGUUUAAGACAAGAGUAGGAUUGACAGAUUAAUAGCUCUUUCUUGAUUUCUUGGAUGGUGAUGCAUGGCCGUUUUUAGUUCGUGAAUAUGAUUUGUCUGGUUAAUUCCGAUAACGAACGAGAUCUUAACCUGCUAAUUAGCGGCAAAUACGAUAUAUUCUUAUGUGGAAUUGAAUAUAGUUGAUUUGCUUAUUUUGAAGAAAAUAUUGGGAUACGUAAAUGUAUCCCUUUCCCUUUUCUACUUAAUUUGCUUAUCAUACUAUUUCUUUUUUGCGUAAGAAUGUAUUUGCUUGAUUGUAAAGCUUCUUAGAGGAACGAUGUGUGUCUAACACAAG